rnacentral:lncRNA from 1 species
AAGAAACAAAACUAGUCCAUGGGAAGAAAAGCAUUGGGACGAAAAUAAAAACUGAGUCCAGGCAUCUUCGAGCGGUUCUUGUGGGAAAAAACCUUGAUAUUACUUAGAGUGAGGCCUCCUAGUAGUUAUCUGGGAAUUUUCGGGACGUUUCUCACAUGGUUAAAAAUCGGCAGAUUUUCGGUAUGGUAAAGCCUUGGCCAUUUUUGGACCGUUUUUGGCGCAACCGUUGUGCACCCCGAACGAGCCCCACCCGACCCCUAGGCCCUGGGCUUUUUUUCUGUGUCAUACUGGGUGCAAUAUAGAUGGGUUUCCACACCUAUCCGCGGGCUAUCAUCGGCCUAAAUAGGUUGCACAAGAUCAAAGAAGCACAACUAGUCCAUGGGAAGAAAAGCAUUGGGACGAAAAUAAAAACUGAGUCCGGGCAUCUUCGAGCGGUUCUUGUGGCAAAAAAACCUUGAUAUUACUCAGAGUGAAGCCUCCUAGUAGUUAUCUGUGAAUUUUCGGGACGGUUCUCACAUGGUUAAAAAUCGGCCGAUUUUCGAGUAUAGUAAAGCCUUGGCCAUUUUUGGACCGUUUUUUGCGCAACCGUUGUGCACCCCGAACGAGCCCUAGGCCCUGGGCUUUUUUUAUGUGUCAUACUGGGUGCAAUAUAGAUGGGUUUCCACACCUAUCCGCGGGCUAUCAUCGGCCUAAAUAGGUUGCACAAGAUCGAAGAAGCACAACUAGUCCAUGGGAAGAAAAGCAUUGGGACGAAAAUAAAAACUGAGUCGGGCAUUUUCCGAGCGGUUCUUUGUGGAAAAAC